UAUCAGGCUGUAGUGGGUGUAACGGACCCACUAACCUACGACGGGUAGGGGCGUUGAGAGACGGAGCCCCCAGAUGGAUUCUGAGACACGAAUCCAGGCCCUACGGGGCGCAGCAGCUACGAAAACUGUCCAAUGUGGGAAACCACGAGACGGGCAUUCCGAGUGCUAACGCUUUUGCGUUAGCUGUUCCCUCGCCUAAAAAGCGAGAGAAGUAAGGGCCGGGUAAGACGGGUGCCAGCCGCCGCGGUAAUACCCGCGGCCCGAGUGGUGUUCAUUAUUAUUGAGCUUAAAGCGUUCGUAGCCGGCCUUGUAAAUCUUUGGGUAAAUCGGGCAGCUCAACUGUUCGAAUUCCGAGGAGACUGCAAGGCUCGGGACCGGGAGAGGUUCGAGGUACUCUCGGGGUAGGGGUAAAAUCCUGUAAUCCUGAGAGGACCACCAGUGGCGAAGGCGUCGAACUAGAACGGAUCCGACGGUGAGGGACGAAGCCCUGGGGCGCAAACGGGAUUAGAUACCCCGGUAGUCCAGGGUGUAAACGCUGCGGGCUUGGUGUCGGAGGUCCUACGAGGACGUCCGGUGCCGGAGAGAAAUUGUUAAGCCUGCCGCUUGGGGAGUACGGUCGCAAGACUGAAAC
rnacentral:rRNA from 1 species